rnacentral:rRNA from 1 species
UACGGGGGGAGCAAGCGUUGUUCGGAUUUACUGGGCGUAAAGGGCGCGUAGGCGGCAAUUCAAGUCAUCUGUGAAAUCUCCGGGCUUAACUCGGAACGGUCAGAUGAUACUGCUUUGCUAGAGUGCGGAAGGGGCAAUCGGAAUUCUUGGUGUAGCGGUGAAAUGCGUAGAUAUCAAGAGGAACACCUGAGGUGAAGACGGGUUGCUGGGCCGACACUGACGCUGACAGCGCGAAAGCCAGGGGAGCAAACGGG